GGGGGCUUCUAUGCCCUCACCCCACGCCCUGGCCUCCGCCUCAUCUCUCUCAAUAUGAAUUUUUGUUCCCGUGAGAACUUUUGGCUCUUGAUCAACUCCACAGAUCCUGCUGGACAACUCCAGUGGCUGGUGGACGAGCUUCAGGCUGCUGAGAAUCGAGGAGACAAAGUAAGGAGAUGCCUUAUGAGCCCUGUGGAGAAGGUGCUGUUGGGGCUGAGGAGAAGCAGGCUGCUGUGCGGCUGAGGUCUCUGAAGAGGGGAGUGUUACUUCACUUCCUGGAACUCCAGUCUUCCCUGGGUCCAUGGCCACCCUCCUAUGUCCUUCAUAUACUCUGUCUCCUGCCACUUCGCCCAAGGCUGCCUGGACUCCUCAACGCUCUAAUGGCCCUUACUUUCCCUUCAGGUGCAUAUAAUUGGGCACAUUCCUCCAGGACAUUGCCUCAAGAGCUGGAGUUGGAACUAUUACAAAAUUAUAGCCAGGUAAAGGGAUAGAGGGCUUGGGUGUGGGGACUGAAGGGUUAAAGUACCCUCAAGAGUCAGGCAGUGGUAGCACAUGCCGUUAAUGGCAGCACUCUUGAGUUCAAGGCCAUCCAGUCUACAAAGUGAGUUCCAGGACAGCCAGGGCUGUUAACAUAAAGAAAUCCUGCCUCUGGAUUUAAAAAAAAAAAAGGAAAGGAAGGAGCAAUUCCCCCAAGCAUGGAGUCUCAGUCUGGUG
rnacentral:lncRNA from 1 species